GACGGAGGAUGCAAGCGUUAUCCGGAAUGAUUGGGCGUAAAGCGUCCGCAGGUGGCAGUUCAAGUCUGCUGUCAAAGACCGGGCUUACUUCGGAAAGGCAGUGGAAACUGAACAGCUAGAGUAUGGUAGGGGCAGAGGGAAUUCCUGGUGUAGCGGUGAAAUGCGUAGAGAUCAGGAAGAACAUCGGUGGCGAAGGCGCUCUGCUGGACCAUAACUGACACUCAGGGACGAAAGCUAGGGGAGCGAAUGGG
rnacentral:rRNA from 1 species